rnacentral:other from 1 species
GUUGACCUGAGAUGUACGGGAAAGCUUGUUGUUUGAACCUACAAAUGAAAUAAGGGAGUCUAGCUUUGAAAGAUGAAAUCAGACCUCAGUACUAAUACCGCCAUACUGCAUAAGCAGUGUGCAACGGCAGGGGAAGGUUGAAGUUUUCAACAGGACACCCACCUAGUUAAGGCUAGGUGUCAAACAGCAAGUGAAGGCAUUUUGGGUAUUUA